GGACGCAUGGCCCAGUGGUAAGGCGCUCGCCUUCGAUGUAGGAUGAGAUCGUCUUUGAUGUGAGCGAGAGAUCGUCGGUUCGACCCCGGCUGCGUUCA
rnacentral:tRNA from 1 species